AGUUUGAUCAUGGCUCAGAUUGAACGCUGGCGGCAGGCCUAACACAUGCAAGUCGAACGGUAACAGGAACGAGCUUGCUGCUUUGCUGACGAGUGGCGGACGGGUGAGUAAUGUCUGGGAAACUGCCUGAUGGAGGGGGAUAACUACUGGAAACGGUAGCUAAUACCGCAUAACGUCGCAAGACCAAAGAGGGGGACCUUCGGGCCUCUUGCCAUCGGAUGUGCCCAGAUGGGAUUAGCUAGUAGGUGGGGUAAAGGCUCACCUAGGCGACGAUCCCUAGCUGGUCUGAGAGGAUGACCAGCCACACUGGAACUGAGACACGGUCCAGACUCCUACGGGAGGCAGCAGUGGGGAAUAUUGCACAAUGGGCGCAAGCCUGAUGCAGCCAUGCCGCGUGUAUGAAGAAGGCCUUCGGGUUGUAAAGUACUUUCAGCGGGGAGGAAGGGAGUAAAGUUAAUACCUUUGCUCAUUGACGUUACCCGCAGAAGAANNACCGGCUAACUCCGUGCCAGCAGCCGCGGUAAUACGGAGGGUGCAAGCGUUAAUCGGAAUUACUGGGCGUAAAGNGCANGCAGGCGGUUUGUUAAGUCAGAUGUGAAAUCCCCGGGCUCAACCUGGGAACUGCAUCUGAUACUGGCAAGCUUGAGUCUCGUAGAGGGGGGUAGAAUUCCAGGUGUAGCGGUGAAAUGCGUAGAGAUCUGGAGGAAUACCGGUGGCGAAGGCGGCCCCCUGGACGAAGACUGACGCUCAGGUGCGAAAGCGUGGGGAGCAAACAGGAUUAGAUACCCUGGUAGUCCACGCCGUAAACGAUGUCGACUUGGAGGUUGUGCCCUUGAGGCGUGGCUUCCGGANNUAACGCGUUAAGUCGACCGCCUGGGGAGUACGGCCGCAAGGUUAAAACUCAAAUGAAUUGACGGGGGCCGCACAAGCGGUGGAGCAUGUGGUUUAAUUCGAUGCAACGCGAAGAACCUUACCUGGUCUUGACAUCCACGGAAGUUUUCAGAGAUGAGAAUGUGCCUUCGGGAACCGUGAGACAGGUGCUGCAUGGCUGUCGUCAGCUCGUGUUGUGAAAUGUUGGGUUAAGUCCCGCAACGAGCGCAACCCUUAUCCUUUGUUGCCAGCGGUCCGGCCGGGAACUCAAAGGAGACUGCCAGUGAUAAACUGGAGGAAGGUGGGGAUGACGUCAAGUC
rnacentral:rRNA from 1 species